GGAGAGGUGGCAGAGCCUGGUCGAUCGCACAUGACUCGAAAUCAUGCAAGGGUAACACCUUCGUGGGUCCGAAUCCCACCCUCUCCGCCA
rnacentral:tRNA from 1 species